rnacentral:SRP_RNA from 1 species
UCCGGGCAUGGUGGUGUGUGCCUGUAGUCCCAGCUACUUGGGAGGAUGAGGUGGGAGUAUCGCUUGAGCCCAGGAGUUCUGGGCUGUAGUGUGCUAUGCCGAUCUGGUGUCCAUACUAAGUUCAGCAUCAAUAUGGUGAUCUCCUGGGAGCAGGGGACCAUCAGGUUGCCUAGGGAGGUGAACCAGCCCAGGUCAGAAACGGAGCAGGUCAAAACUCACAUGCUGAUCAGUAGUGGGAUAGUGCCUGUGAGUAGCCACUGCACUCCAGCCUGGGCAGCAUAGCGAGACACUGUCUCA